rnacentral:rRNA from 1 species
GCAGCAGCCACGGGAACACCAGCACCUCGAGUGGUCAGGAGGUUUAUUGGGCCUAAAGCAUCCGUAGCCGGUUGCAUAAGUUUUCGGUUAAAUCUAUGCGCUUAACGUAUAGGCCGCCGAAAAUACUGUGCAGCUAGGGAGUGGGAGAGGUACACGGUACUCGAUAGGAAGGGGUAAAAUCCUUUGAUCUAUUGAUGACCACCUGUGGCGAAGGCGGUGUACCAGAACACGUUCGACGGUGAGGGAUGAAAGCUGGUGGAGCAAACCGGAUUAGAGACCCCUGUAGUCCCUGUCUCUUAUAC